AGCAAAGCUGAGUAUAUAAGCGCAAAAUAAAAAUUUCAGCAAGUAUAGUCUGAUUUAACCCGAUUUAGUUACACGUUAGGUCAAGUGAUACAACAUAUUAAAAAUGAGAACUGUUCUCCUAAUUGUGGCUGCAUGCCUGGCCAUGUCACUGGUGUUGGCUGCUGCUGGUGAUGAAGUUUGCAAUACGGUGUGUGCUGGUCAUGAUCCCAAUUUGAAUAUGCAUUUGCCGUAUCCAGAUGAUAACACCAAAUUUUGUCAUUGUGGAUUAGAUGGAAACUGGGAAGAAGAUUGCCCUCCUGGACUAGUCUUCGAUCCCCAAAUGCAAGUUUGUGACUGGCCGGAAGAAAAAUAAUGCUGCUUACCUAAACAAAAAUAAUAACUCAUUGAAAAGCUCACAGAAUAAGUAUUUAUUUGUUGCUGAUUCACAUGCUUAAAUAUUUUAUUCAUCAAUAAAAACUGAUAUUUAUAUUAAUAAA